rnacentral:rRNA from 1 species
AACGUAGGUGGCGAGCGUUAUCCGGAUUUACUGGGCGUAAAGCGCGUGCAGGCGGCGACGCAAGUCGGGCAUGAAAGCCCCCGGCUCAACCGGGGGAGGCUGUCCGAUACUGCGCCGCUUGAGGGCUGGAGAGGGUGGUGGAAUUCCACGUGUAGCGGUGAAAUGCGUAGAGAUGUGGAGGAACACCAGUGGCGAAGGCGGCUUUCUGGUCUGUAACUGACGCUGAGGCGCGAAAGCGUGGGGAGCAAACAGG